AGCGAACGCUGGCGGCAGGCCUAACACAUGCAAGUCGAACGAAGCCUUCGGGCUUAGUGGCGGACGGGUGAGUAACACGUGGGAACGUACCUUUUGGUUCGGAAUAACGCAGAGAAAUUUGCGCUAAUACCGAAUGAGCCCUUCGGGGGAAAGAUUUAUCGCCGAAAGAUCGGCCCGCGUUGGAUUAGGUAGUUGGUGUGGUAAAGGCGCACCAAGCCUACGAUCCAUAGCUGGUCUGAGAGGAUGAUCAGCCACACUGGGACUGAGACGCGGCCCAGACUCCUACGGGAGGCAGCAGCGGGGAAUCUUGCGCAAUGGGCGAAAGCCUGACGCAGCCAUGCCGCGUGAAUGAUGAAGGUCUUAGGAUUGUAAAAUUCUUUUACCAGGGACGAUAAUGACGGUACCUGGAGAAAAAGCCCCGGCUAACUUCGUGCCAGCCGCCGCUGUAAAAC
rnacentral:rRNA from 1 species